GUUUAGGAGGAUUGUCGGCAGUGAGGGAUCACUUCCUUUCAGACUGAGGAUAACAAUGGGAUUCUUCUCGUUCACGGGAUAGAAGACUUUGAAGUCCAUCCCAAGGGAUGAAGCCUGACGGCGCAGGAAGUCAACGCAAGGAACUGAAGAAAGAAUUCUGGAUUAGAUGAUACACUCUGGAACACCCUGUAUUUCUUACGAGCUUUAUUUCUUUAAUUACUCAUUUAUUUGCUGGACUUUUUAUCUGUAAAUUUUCUCUGAAAAUGGGGGCACAGCUCGCUCUAACACUAGUUAGUGAAAAUCAAGGUGAAAAUCCUCCAACUUACCAUAAUCCGGAUUGGGAUGAACGCUGGGAAUCCUCAGCCACGUCACGAGAGAUUAAUAAGAUUUCUCCUCAGCUGAGAUUUCUGGCCAGAAACCGAUUCACGAUGCCUCCUGCUGAGUUUCCGAGAGACAACUGGGAGCUUGCUGUCCAAUUAGACUGCCAAGAAUGGUUCUGCGCUUAUCACUGACCACAGAGAUUAG